rnacentral:rRNA from 1 species
UACGUAGGGUGCAAGCGUUACUCGGAAUUACUGGGCGUAAAGCGUGCGUAGGCGGUCUGGUAAGUCUGAUGUGAAAGCCCUGGGCUCAACCUGGGAAUUGCAUUGGAUACUGGCAGGCUAGAGUGCGGUAGAGGGUAGUGGAAUUCCCGGUGUAGCAGUGAAAUGCGUAGAGAUCGGGAGGAACAUCUGUGGCGAAGGCGACUACCUGGACCAGCACUGACACUGAGGCACGAAAGCGUGGGGAGCAAACAGG